rnacentral:rRNA from 1 species
AUGCAUGACGCUAAUGAGAUUUGGGGUGCUGCCCUCUUGGAAAUUCAGGUGAACCCAGCUUCAGACUCUGACAGAACACAACCACCACCCGUGGCGAUUCAGAAAGUGCUGACAGAGUUCAACGACGUAUUUGCAGAACCAACUAAACUUCCUCCCCAUCGACAAUAUGAUCUUGCGAUCACACUAGAACCGGGUGCAAUACCAAUCAACUGCAGGCCUUAUCGCUACUCACCAUUGCAGAAGGACGAGAUUGAACGGCAAGUAAAAGAGAUGUUGCGUACGGGUGUCAUCACUCACAGCAUGAGCCGCUAUGCAGCACCCGUCCUUCUCGUCAAGAAAAAGGACGGCACAUGGCGUUUCUGUGUCGACUACCGACGUCUCAACACGGUGACAAUCAAGAACAAGUUUCCACUACCUAUCAUUGAUGAGCUGUUGGACGAACUGGCUGGUGCCGCUUUCUUCUCCAAGAUAGAUUUGCGUGCCGGUUACCAUCAGAUUCGUAUGCGGGAGAGCGACGAGGAUAAAACAGCUUUCAAGACACAUCACGGCCACUUCCAGUUCCGCGUCAUGCCAUUUGGAGUCACCAAUGGGCCACCAACCUUCCAAUGUGUGAUUAACUCUGUCUUUGCGGAACCAAAUCGUAAGUUUGUCAUCAGUUUUCUGGAUGACAUAUUGCUUUUCAGUCAAUCCUUA